UGCCCUCUUUUCUGUACCAUUGAUCCACCCUUCUGUUUUGAUACCAGUACCACACUGUUUUUGUUACUAUUGCUCUGUAGUACAGUUUGAAAUCUGGUAUCACUAUACCUCCUGAUUCACACUUCCUGCUUAGAGUUGCUUUUGCUAUUCUGGGUCAUUUAUUUUUCCAUAUGAAUUUCAUGAUUGCUUUAUCUAUUUCUACAAGAAAUGUCAUUGGGAUUUGAUUGGCGUUGCAUUAAACCUAUAGAGAACUUUUGGUAAUAUUGCCAUUUUGAUGAUGUUAGUUCUGCCUAUCCAUGAACAGGGUAUAUUUUUCCAUCUUCUAAGAUCUUCUUCUAUUUCUCUCUUUAGGGUUCUGUAGUUUUCAUUUUAUAAAUCCUUCACCUCUUUUGUUAGGUUGAUUCGCAAGUAUUUUAUUUUUUUUCUAUCUCCUGAAAUAGAUUGUAGAGUAUUGGUAUUAGUUCUUCUUUAAAGUUCUUGUAAAACUCUGCUGUAUAUCCAUCCGGUCCUGGGCUUUUGUUGGUUGGUAGUCUUUUGAUGGCUUCUUCUAUUUCCUCACUUGAUAUUUGUCUCUUUAGGUUGUUUAUAUCCUCCUGACUCAAUCUGGUUAGUUCAUAUGUCUUAAGGAAUUUAUCAAUGCCUUCACUAUGUUCUAUUUUAUUUGAGUAUAGGGUUUCAAAAUAAUUUCUAAUUAUCUUCUGUAUUUCUGAAUUGUCUGUUGUGAUGUUGCCUUUUUCAUCCUGUAAACUAGUAAUUUGGGUUCUCUCUCUUCUUCUCU
rnacentral:lncRNA from 1 species